UACGUAGGGCGCAAGCGUUGUCCGGAAUUACUGGGCGUAAAGGGCUCGUAGGCGGCCAACUAAGUCAGACGUGAAAUCCCUCAGCUUAACUGGGGAACUGCGUCUGAUACUGGAUGGCUUGGAUCCGGGAGAGGGAUGCGGAAUUCCAGGUGUAGCGGUGAAAUGCGUAGAUAUCUGGAGGAACACCGGUGGCGAAGGCGGCAUCCUGGCCCUGUCCUGACGCUCAGGGGCGAAAGCGUGGGGAGCAAACCGG
rnacentral:rRNA from 1 species